rnacentral:rRNA from 1 species
UACGAAGGGUGCAAGCGUUAAUCGGAAUUACUGGGCGUAAAGCGUGCGCAGGCGGUUUUGUAAGCCAGAUGUGAAAUCCCCGGGCUUAACCUGGGAAUGGCAUUUGGGACUGCAAGGCUUGAGUGCGGCAGAGGAGACUGGAAUUCCCGGUGUAGCAGUGAAAUGCGUAGAUAUCGGGAGGAAUACCGAUGGCGAAGGCAGGUCUCUGGGCUGACACUGACGCUCAUGCACGAAAGCGUGGGGAGCAAACAGG